GGAUGGAGAGCCGGGACUGCGCAGGAGGCGACAGGCAGUUGUGACGGGCUCCCAGACUUGGUGGUGUGUACCCCUUCUUCCCCCACUUCCCAUGUGAUGGCCUUCCCUGUACUGCUGCAUCAUUAACUAAGUGGCAGGGCUGGCCCUUCAUUGGCCAGGGGAGGGCUCAGGCUCCAGACACUUCCUCCCAUUGGUGAGAAGGGCGAUGGCAGGUGAAAAGCUCUUUUGGAUUGGCCGAGGACUAGGUGUAAGAAGAACUUACAGCUGUACGAACUUUAAAAAAAACCAAAACUAUUUUUUUGGAGGAGGGAGAAGAGUUGAUUUUAGGCAUGAGGGCGGCAGAAGAGUUGACAGCCUCAGAAGAAAAGCUGCCUGGGCUAUUUGAUUUCAAAAGAGGGAGUUUCCAGCUGUCACUGGCCGCACCUUGGUGUUGCAGCAAAAUAAUUCCCAACUCCCCUGGAAAUGCGUGGGCAAGAAAACACAGAAGAAAGGUCCUGGCCGGGGGAGAGAUUACCGAACAGCGUUGCUGACCAGCCCCUGAGUGGUUACGCAGUCAGCAACACCCAGUGGAUGAGAGAGCAGACUCUACUGUGCCCCUGUCUUCGAUCUUUGUCACCAGCGGUUUCCUGGGAACAUCUGCCCUGGAGAUAGAAUGAUGCCUUUCAGCUUCCUUCUGUAACUCAGCUCACUUGGGGGGAUCUUUCCAAAGGAAAAGGGAUGCAGGAUUCAUUCAUCUCAAAAGGUCCGUCAGAACCUCCCUGCCUCCAUGAUGGAUACUGAUCUGCACAUCCGUUGCUGGAGAAUCUCGCUGGACCAGCACAGUUCUUUGCACAUAUUAGCCACUGACUAAAUUCUUAUUGGAUUGGAAUGAACUGAUUAAAUCACUGAUCUUUUGAAUUCCUGAAGCAAAUUUCUCCAGAAACCAUCUGUCUGCCUGUAUUGGAGACAUUUACCAGGCUCGAUGGGUCUGAAACAAAGGCCUCUUCUAACAACAGUUGUCCAAGGAUGCCAUGUGGCAAUGAGUCAUGGAACACCAAGUCUCUGUAGAACGAAAGCUGCGGGUCAUGCCAAGGGCAAUGGAGAAGUGAUGGUGGGCGACUUGAGUUGGCUGCAACGUGUCACCAGAUAUGAGUUAUGCAAGAGAAAUGGCAUAAAGAAUGUUGUCGGCAAGAUGUAUAACCAGGGAAAGUGGGCCAAUCAUGUGGAGAGUGAGAGAGAACCAGUGUGCAGUCUGCUGGCUCUGUUGGUAUCCAUCUGAAGUGGAGGAGGAAGAAGACCUUCCAUCUCAGAACAGAGACUGAGGCUUCCCCCUCUUCAGGAUGUUGCUCUUCUUCUGGAAGCUGGUUUCACAUGGUGGCUUAGAUUUUUCCAUCUCUGUAUCUAGCACCAUUUGAAAUCAGUGUUUUAGGAGUAAGAAUUGCGGCAAGGAAGGACAUACGUUUUAGUGGCUCAUCUGCUUUUUAGAUUUGCCAUUUGAACUGGGAAAAGACUCCCUCCACAAGAGGAUAAUUGUCAUAAAAAUCAAACUGAGGGGUAGGAUCACGUUCAAGGUAUUAACUCCAAUGAUAAUGCUAUGAGGAACUGAGGCCAGUUUUGCAUAGCUCAGUUGAAAAAACAAAAACAAACCAAAACACUGGAUUGGGGAUCUCAAGACCUGAGGUUCUAAUCUCAACCAGUUACUAGCAGUGUGAGCUUGGACUAGUCACAGGCUUUGAAUCUCAGUUUUCUUUUCUUCAAAAUGGAUAUUAUACUCACUACCUACCUACCUCACAGGGUUGUUGUGAGGAUGUAUGACAGUAUUUUAUAAAUAUGAUAAUACUCUUUUUGAAUAUUAGUUAACAGUCCUGCCCAAGCGUGGUAGGGUCCUCGUAGUUUCAUAAAAUAAACACUUCUUGGUUAAUGAAUGUCAUGAUUUUAGUCUUCAAUUGAGUGGUGAUGUGUUUUUCUGGAAUAAUGAGAAGGGUAGCUGUAGCACCCCUGGGCAAAAACUGUUUAUUACUUGCUUGAAAAUUUGAGGUUAUUUGUACAUGCAAAGAUGUCAGCCAUUGUUAUAAUACAUCAGAAUUCCACAAAUCCUACUGGACCUCUCUCUUACACAGGCUGACCGAUUUCUCUUGGUGUUCAGAGUCUGUUUUUGUCUAGCACCAUUUGAAAUCGGUUAUGAUGUAGGGGGAAAAGCAGCAGUCCUGGAACGCUAUGCAAGGCUGAUUGGUUAGUCGUAGCACGAAUCAUGGGGGAAAAAAAGAGCACACUUCUUAGUAACCAACUGCAACUGCAUUGAAGCUUCUGAAACUCAGAGGUAAGAGACAACCUAAUGGAUAAAUGCUCUUUGGACACGUGAAUGAAUCCACGUGAUUUGAUUCCAGUCCUGUUUUGCCUUUUCUUUGUAAUUUUGAGGUGCUAUAAAACGAUUAAAUCUAUAAUAAGGUUAAAUGCACUAAUAAAUUUUUUUCUGCAUUGCU